AGGUGCGAUCAUACCAGCACUAAUGCACCGGAUCCCAUCAGAACUCCGCAGGUAAGCGUGCUUGGGCGAGAGUAGUACUAUGAUGGGUGACCUCCUGGGAAGUCCUCGUGUUGCACUUC
rnacentral:rRNA from 1 species